GUUUGGUAUACAGGACUGUCUUGACAUGGACAAUGCUUAAGGAUUGUCAUGGAUUGGCUUAGCUUGGUUUAGGCUGGAUUACAUUUGUCCUAUGUUUGCCGUCGUCGCCCACAACCCUAAGUCCGAGCUAUGAAGUCUUCGUCGUCUGCCAUUGGUGCCAACAGAAACCGUAUGGCUGUGAUGGUGGUUUUUCUUAUCAUCUGAGUUUUGAAUGGAAGUCCAAUUUUAUACUUUUGGAUUUGGGGUUGAGUUUUGAAUGGAU